rnacentral:rRNA from 1 species
CAGCCGCCGCGGUAAUACGUAGGGUGCGAGCGUUAAUCGGACUUACUGGGCGUAAAGCGUGCGCAGGCGGUUUUGUAAGACAGAGGUGAAAUCCCCGGGCUCAACCUGGGAACUGCCUUUGUGACUGCAAGGCUGGAGUGCGGCAGAGGGGGAUGGAAUUCCGCGUGUAGCAGUGAAAUGCGUAGAUAUGCGGAGGAACACCGAUGGCGAAGGCAAUCCCCUGGGCCUGCACUGACGCUCAUGCACGAAAGCGUGGGGAGCAAACAGGAUUAGAUACCCUGGUAGUCCACGCCCUAAACGAUGUCAACUGGUUGUUGGACGGCUUGCUGUUCAGUAACGAAGCUAACGCGUGAAGUUGACCGCCUGGGGAGUACGGCCGCAAGGUUGAAACUUAAAGGAAUUGGCGGG